UCUCUCUCUCUCUCUCUCUCUCUCCUCUCUCUCUCUCUCUCUCUCUCUCUCUCUCUCUCCUGUUGCCCCAAUCUCUCAAUUUCUCACAAAUAAGCUAUAUUAAAGUGAUCGUAAAUAUGGAAAUUAGGAGUUGUAUAAAAUUAACAUACUUUAAAAGUAAGGUGUUGAGUUGAAUGCAUGAGGCCAACACAUAUAUGUAAGAUUAUCUAUUUCAAAUUAAAAAUAAUUCUGUGUUUUGUUUGAACAGGCGGGACCAGGGCAGUGACGUGUUCCAGAUGUUUAUAUAUAGGCGGGACCAGGGCAGUGACGUGUUCCAGAUGUUUAUAUAUAGGCGGGAUCAGGGCAGUGACGUGUCCCAGAUGUUUAUAUAUAGGUAAAAUGCACAUUUAUAACUAUUUCAGAGAGAGUAUACAAUUU